GGAACCCAUAUCCCUAUCUUGGCACCGGAGCACCAAGCUGGCGAGUACAUAAACCGCAAGGGGUACUUUUCAAUGGUGCUGCAAGCACUGGUGGAUCACAAGGGACAUUUUACUAACAUCAACGUAUGAUGGCCGGGAAAAGUACAUGCCCUCGCAUCUUCAGGAACUCUGGUCUGCAUAAAGCAGGGG